UCAUAGAAUCACAGAGUCCUCAUAAUGUCAUAGUGUCAUCAUAGUGUCAUUGAUUCAUCAUAGAAUCAUAGAGUCGUCAUGGACUGGUCUUUUACCUUCCCCAUUCUCUCUACAUCCCAUUUGCAGAGAGCAAAUUAUCAUUAAGAGGAAUGAGGAUCAUCGUGAAAAGAAAAAGUGAUGGAACACGAAUCCACAAAAAAUCCCUGCUACCACUGGGAUUAAAAAUAAUAAUAAUAAUCACACAGAAUAACAGGAAAACACCUUCUGAUUCAUUCUCAUCUUGCUUGGUAUGUAGUGGAGCUUUUCAUCAUCAAGAGAUGGAUGGCAAAUGAAGUAAGAAAAAUACCUUCCAUGGAAAAUAUUUGCAGAAUUAAACAGAUGAAUAUCAGGGGGGUGAAGGAUGUCCAUUGAACUGUUCCUGGGGGACAAGUACUACUGCCAGCUAGCACUGGCAGAAACAAUAAACCAGAUUUUGGCACUUGGAAAUGAACAGAGACACAGAGUACAGAAGAAAGAUAAAUAUUUUUGAAGUAGAAAAGACUAUAUGUGAGUUCAAUAUAGUCUUUUGGCUAAGAGCAAGAUAAUCUACAAAGAGAGUCUGUGAUUUAACAAGGCAACCCAAAAGUUUUAAGACCUGGAUUCCCAUCAGAAAUCUGAAGACUAUCCCUAGAGCUUCUGAUGUGGACAGAAAAACCUCAAUGAA